AGAGUGAAUCUGGAGAAAAGGAGUGCUGUAUGUUUGCGAGUCACCUCUUGUUUCUGUCACCGUGGCUUUGCUGGUGAUGGGAAGAAUUGUUCUGACAUUGAUGAGUGCCAAACCCAAAAUGGAGGGUGCCACCCUGUUGCCAGCUGCUACAAAUGGUUGUGUCACAUCUGCUCCCACUGCGCCCUCUGGUGUUCAUCCAGUGUCAUCCUAACCCGCAGUUCUCCCCCUGUUGAGCAACCCCGGUUCUGCACUCCAUAUCGUUCUGUGUACAAUAAACAUUUUGGUUCAUUCAUCUCUGCUUCUGCAUCUGCAUCUGAGUCCGCUCUUGGGUUCCUCUGUGUUUUCUUCAUGUAACAGGUUGGAUCCUUCAACUGGCACCGAGGGCAGUGGCUAUGAGUGCCAGGAUGUUCACGAGUGUCCUUACAACUCCACCCAGCCCCACAACUCGUCCAUGAGGACGAGUGAGCGUGUGUGGAUACGGAUGGUCUCGGGAAUCGAACCCACUACCCUGGCGUUACAGGCGCCAUGCUCUACCAACUGAGCUACAGAAGGACCACACGGGCAAUGGCACCUGGUGGAGGGCGUGGGCCAGUGGUGACCGGGGAAGAUUGAGGAUUGUGAUUGGACAAAGAAGAUGGGAUCUCUCUUUACGUCACACCAAUUAUGGAUUUCCGCUUCAUGGGCAAGCUGUUUGAUCGGAUCUAUUUCUCAGAUAAUGGACUUAUCCAGUUUGUCAGUCAGAACUAGUUCCUGCUUCCUGUCCCCUUCCCUAAGGGUUUCUGCCAUGCUGGCAGUGUUCUGACCUACGAUGCUGACCUCACCCAUGGGGAGGGGAAGCUGCUCUAUCAGGAAUACCACCAGCUGAAUAUGUCUGAUACAUAUUCCCAAAUUGUCUUCAAUCGUACAGCGGAGGAUGUUACACGGAACAGAAGGGCAAACCUGCGUUUACCCCAGCCUGCGUUGUAAAGAUCACCUGGGAUCAUGUGAUGGCUGUCUACUACCAGGAAAUGAACCACUCAGAGUAUUGGUCUGUUUUCAAUGUCCAUGUUCCAGUUAUGUCAUAUUCCAAUAUAGGCAUAUACUUUGGGUGUCUAUUGGUGGUAAACAUGAUUGCAUAUCUGUCAGGAAAGUUAGUUAUUGGACGGUAGGGUGUGGUAUAGUUUGCUCUGAUGUUUGUCCUAGUUUGGCAUCCAUUGUUGUGUGCAUUGUGAGAACCUCAGGUGUUAGGUUACAUUCUCCCAGCUAUGUCAGUUCUCACCUAUUAUUUUUAUUCCUGUGGUGCCACCUUGUGCCCACUUCCAGACUAACACCUUCUAGUACAUCCUGACUACCGACGGGGAGCACUCCUUCGCUCUGCUACGCUUCGGGGAGUUGGGGUCCUGGCCAAAGGCUCCACCACUUUUUCAACGAGAUCACAAAUGAAAUGAAUCUAUUUGGGUGGCGGUACAGGCUUAAGGAGGUGAGGGGAAAUAUAGGUCAGAGCCCAAACGGAACCCCCAGAAGAGGUGCCAGGUGUAAGCAGUAAAGGAGCCUGAGCCAAAGGAGUGGGCCAAGGGGGUGUCGUGGUGCCCCCACACCCAAGCACUGGAGGAUCUGGCAUACGGGCCUGAGACCCUGCCCCUCAACCAGCAGGAUCAGAUACGGGUAACGGAGCUACUGGGACUGCGCUGGGGUGGCGUGUUCCAGUCCAUCCUGUCCAAUUUGAGGAUCUCCUUCUGUUCCAAUGGUGUUGUAUCCUGUCUCCUCUGUGCCACCUCUAUCUGGCCAUGACACCCCUGGACCGUUGCCAAGGUUAUGGCUGGCUCCAUUAUCUUCACGCUGCAGGGCGAGAAGGACGAGCUGGAGACAGAUGGACAGGCCAGACGGGUCCCCGCGGUGGUGACGAUGGCUCCUUUCCACAAGGUUAAGUGGCGGUGUGCAUAGUCAGGAGAGGGACUGGAGGUCCUGGUGUGGAUGAUGUGGAGGUCUCUGUCGGUAACAUGCCUCAAAUCCACUGUUCACGUGCAGAUCGGCACUCAAGAUGCCAACAAUAUAAGCUUCUCAAUGCUCUUCCCCAGACCACCACAAGCCUCUGUUGGGAAAAACUUCUACCUCCCUCCCUUCCUCUUUCGACGUCACAAGAUGGCUGACAGCAUCAGCUCAGGGUACAACUACAGCUGCAGGUGCAAGCCUGGCUUUACUGGGGACGGAUGCCACUGUACAGACAUAGAUGAGUGCCUGGACCACUCGGCCUGUCCCAAAGCCACAUUUUAGGGUUAGGUCAGUCCGAUGCUCCUGUUGCUACUGUACUGAGGAAACCGAUGUCUGUGGGUUCAAUGUCUUCAACGUCUCCAUUGGCUGGAAGAACCAGGGUGCUGGAGGAGAGAGACUGAGACAGGUGAGAGGGAGCGUGUGGGCAGCCUGUCUCAUCAAAUCAUUUUUUACAUAGGCCUGUAUUUGUGUGUGGGACAUAAAACAAGCUGAAAGAUCAUUUGUUUUUUUCCUGACGAGGAAGUACUCACGUCCAGAAAUGCCCCAGUUCUUUCUCUCUGCAUUGUUGGGAAGGCCCCGUAAGCAUUUCACUGUUAUUCGACACCUGCCGUUUACAUAGCAUGUGACAAAUAACAUUUGAUUUGAUUUAGUUUGCAGUAAUAGGCUAUAACUAUAGGGUCUACAGAUUUUCCUGGGAAUGGGUGUGUAAAUUUAGAUAAUGGCAGAGGGCGUUUUGCUGCUGGUCCAUGUUCAUUAGGUAGCAAAUGGAGGAAAACAGAUUGAAAAGGGGAGGGACCACUUGGACUUGUCAAAUAAGAAACACUCUUUUCCGUAUUCUUUUUCAAAGAAUGUUUUAAACUGUUUAGGCCUAUAUUUGUGUAUAGGACAUACACUACCUGUCAAAGGUUUUAGAAAACCUACUCAAAGAUUCUUCUGUAUUUUUACAUUUUUUCUACAUUG